AAUUCGAUUGAGUUUGAUCCUGGCUCAGGACGAACGCUGGCGGCGUGCUUAACACAUGCAAGUGGAGCGACGAAGGGACUUCGGUCCUGGCAGAGCCGCGAACGGGUGAGUAACACGUGGGUGACCUGCCCCGAUGAUUGGGACAACCCGAGGAAACUCGAGCUAAUACCAAAUGUGCUCCUUGGUCCAAAGGCCUUGGAGGAAAGGAAGCUUCGGCCUCCGCAUCGGGAUGGGCCCGCGGCGCAUUAGCUUGUUGGUGGGGUAACGGCCUACCAAGGCGACGAUGCGUAGCUGGUCUGAGAGGACGAUCAGCCACACUGGGACUGAGACACGGCCCAGACUCCUACGGGAGGCAGCAGUGGGGAAUCUUGCGCAAUGCGCGAAAGCGUGACGCAGCAACGCCGCGUGUGGGAAGACGGCCUUCGGGUUGUAAACCACUUUCAGUUGGGACGAAGGGUCAUCCGUUAAUAGCGGCUUGACUUGACGGUACCUUCACAAGAAGCCCCGGCUAACUACGUGCCAGCAGCCGCGGUAAUACGUAGGGGGCAAGCGUUGUCCGGAAUCAUUGGGCGUAAAGCGCGUGUAGGCGGGUCGGU
rnacentral:rRNA from 1 species